AGUGAACGCUGGCGGUAGGCCUAACACAUGCAAGUCGAACGGCAGCACAGUAAGAGCUUGCUCUUACGGGUGGCGAGUGGCGGACGGGUGAGGAAUACAUCGGAAUCUACUUUUUCGUGGGGGAUAACGUAGGGAAACUUACGCUAAUACCGCAUACGACCUACGGGUGAGAGCAGGGGAUCUUCGGACCUUGCGCGAUUGAAUGAGCCGAUGUCGGAUUAGCUAGUUGGCGGGGUAAAGGCCCACCAAGGCGACGAUCCGUAGCUGGUCUGAGAGGAUGAUCAGCCACACUGGAACUGAGACACGGUCCAGACUCCUACGGGAGGCAGCAGUGGGGAAUAUUGGACAAUGGGCGCAAGCCUGAUCCAGUCAUACCGCGUGGGUGAAGAAGGCCUUCGGGUUGUAAAGCCCUUUUGUUGGGAAAGAAAAGCAGCAGGUUAAUACCCCGCUGUUCUGACGGUACCCAAAGAAUAAGCACCGGCUAACUUCGUG
rnacentral:rRNA from 1 species